GUACACGCUGUGACUAGCAUAUCAAUAAGCGGAGGAAAAGAAACUAACAAGGAUUCCCUUAGUACCGGCGAGUGAAGCGGGAAGAGCUCAAAUUUGAAAUCUUCAAGGUUUUACCUUGACGAAUUGUAGUUUAAAGAAGUGUUUUCUGCUGAAGUUUUGGUAAAAGUUCUUUGGAAUAGGACAUCAUAGAGGGUGAGAAUCCCGUAUUUGACCAUUACUUUCAGCUUUGUGAUACACUUUCAAAGAGUCGGAUUGUUUGGGAUGCAGUCCAAAAUGGGUGGUAAAUUUCAUUCUAAGCUAAAUAUUGGCGAGAGACCGAUAGCGAACAAGUACCGCUGAGGGAAAGAUGAAAAGAACUUUGAAAAGAGAGUUAAAUAGUACGUGAAAUUGUCAAAAGGGAAGCGUUUGACACCAGUGUUGUUUUCUGAAAAUCAAUUAAAAAUGGCUCGAUUUUGUAUUGCUUGAGACCUUAAAAGCUCACUGUACAUUUUUCGUGUCUUUUUUAAUGCACUUUUCGUUUAACAAGUCAACAUCAGUUUCUUUGUUGUAAAAGGGUCAUUGGAAGGUGGCUUUCUUUUCGGAGAAAGUGUUUAUAGCCUUUGGCCUCUGCAAUCGAAGAGACUGAGGUCUGCAGCGUAGACUCUUCGGGGUUAGAUACAUUUGUGCUAAGUUAUAGCUUUUUAUAGACAACUUGUUGACAUAUAAUUAGUCUUGUAGCUUACUCGCUUAUGCUAUUUUACCUACGCUUAGGAUGUUGAGUAGCGACAUACGCAC
rnacentral:rRNA from 1 species